rnacentral:rRNA from 1 species
UGGCCGUAAACGAUGUGGACUUGGUGUUGGGAUGGCUCCGAGCUGCCCCAGUGCCGAAGGGAAGCUGUUAAGUCCACCGCCUGGGAAGUACGGUCGCAAGACUGAAACUUAAAGGAAUUGGCGGGGGGAGGCACCACAACGCGUGGAGCCUGCGGUUUAAUUUGGAUUCAACGCCGGACAUCUCACCAGGGGCGGACAGCAGAAUGAUGGCCAGGUUGAUGACCUUGCUUGACAGGCUGAGAGGAGGUGCAUGGCGUGUGACUGU